rnacentral:lncRNA from 1 species
GAUAAUCCCUAUUUAACUAAACCAGCUUAAGAACUCUAUUCUUUCUCAGCAAUGAGGCCUCCUACCUGGCUGAGGUAUUUGGACCCCUGUGGAUUGUCAAGGUUUACAGCUAUGAGUUUCAGAAGCCCUCACUGUGUUUCUGCUGCCCUGAAACAGUGGAGGCAGACAAAGGUGAGUGCCAAGUGAGGAACCAUAAGAAGUGGUAGAUCUCUGUGGAGUGCCAUAAGAACCCUCAAGAGCCUUAACAAAGGUAGUUGGGGGAGAGGGGAAGAGGUGUUUCAGCAGCUCUGCUCCCAGCAGCCAUUUCCUCUCUCCAGGGCAAAGGGGUGGGGCUGCGAGGCCAGCUGACCAAGAAACCCCUCCAGCUCCUCCAGUCCAAGUCCAGCAUCUUUCCUACAACUAUUCUGCCUUCCACUUCGUCUUCUUCCUUGCCUCACUCUAUGUCAUGGUUACCCUUACCAACUGGUUCAGGUAAGAUGGAGUGGGCCUUAGAUACUCUCCUGAAGAGCUAGCUAUUUUAAGGAAAGAGCAAUUCAAGGCCAUUCCAGACACACAUGGGUCUGCCAUUAUAUUUGGUGAGGAGGUAGAACAGGUCUAAAAGCUAAGGCCCUUCAUAUUCUCUAACCAGAGCCUUUGGUUACACAGCUAUGAGGGAGCAGAACUGGAAAAGACCUUCAUCAAGGGUAGCUGGGCCACCUUCUGGGUCAAGGUUGCCUCAUGCUGGGCCUGCGUACUCCUCUAUCUGGGGCUGUUACUGGCACCACUCUGUUGGCCCCCCACCCAGAAACCCCAGCCCCUUAUCUUGAGGCGCCGCCGCCACCGCAUCAUAUCCCC